UACGGGGGGGGGCAAGCGUUGUUCGGAUUUACUGGGCGUAAAGGGUUCGUAGGUGGCCAACUAAGUCAGACGUGAAAUCCCUCAGCUUAACUGGGGAACUGCGUCUGAGACUGGAUGGCUUGAGUUCGGGAGAGGGAUGCGGAAUUCCAGGUGUAGCGGUGAAAUGCGUAGAUAUCAGGAAGAACACCAAUGGCGAAGGCAGCUCUCUGGGACGGUACUGACGCUGAGACGCGAAAGCGUGGGGAGCGAACAGG
rnacentral:rRNA from 1 species